rnacentral:rRNA from 1 species
UACGUAGGGGGCAAGCGUUGUCCGGAUUUAUUGGGCGUAAAGAGCUCGUAGGCGGCUUGGCAAGUCGGGUGUGAAAACUCCAGGCUCAACCUGGAGAUGCCACUCGAGACUGCUAUGGCUAGAGUCCGGUAGGGGACCACGGAAUUCCUGGUGUAGCGGUGAAAUGCGUAGAUAUCCGGAGGAACACCGGUGGCGAAGGCGGCUUCCUGGACCGACACUGACGCUGAGGCGCGAAAGCUAGGGGAGCAAACGGG